rnacentral:rRNA from 1 species
UACGUAGGCAGCAAGCGUUGUUCGGAGUUACUGGGCGUAAAGGGUGUGUAGGCGGUUCUUUAAGUUUGGUGUGAAAUCUCCCGGCUCAACUGGGAGGGUGCGCCGAAUACUGAGGGACUAGAGUACGGGAGAGGAAAGUGGAAAUUCCUGGUGUAGCGGUGAAAUGACGUAGAUAUCGGAAGGAACAUCAGUGGCGAAAGCGGCUUCCUGGACCAGUACCGACGUUCAGGCACGAAAGCGUGGGGAGCAAACAG